AUGCUCACUUCAGCAGCACAUAUACUGAAACUGGGAUACAGAGAAGAGUAGCAUAGCCCCUGCACAAGGAUGACACAGAAAAAUACAUUUUAUGACUACAUUACU
ensembl:snRNA U6 U6 spliceosomal RNA